rnacentral:rRNA from 1 species
GCCCUAGUAACGGCGAGUGAAGCGGCAACAGCUCAAAUUUGAAAUCUGGCGUCUUUGGCGUCCGAGUUGUAAUUUGCAGAGGGCGCUUUGGCAUUGGCAGCGGUCCAAGUUCCUUGGAACAGGACGUCACAGAGGGUGAGAAUCCCGUACGUGGUCGCUAGCCUUUACCGUGUAAAGCCCCUUCGACGAGUCGAGUUGUUUGGGAAUGCAGCUCUAAAUGGGAGGUAAAUUUCUUCUAAAGCUAAAUACUGGCCAGAGACCGAUAGCGCACAAGUAGAGUGAUCGAAAGAUGAAAAGCACUUUGGAAAGAGAGUUAAAAAGCACGUGAAAUUGUUGAAAGGGAAGCGCUUGCAGCCAGACUUGCCUGUAGUUGCUCAUCCGGGUUUUUACCCGGUGCACUCUUCUACGGGCAGGCCAGCAUCAGUUUGGGCGGUUGGAUAAAGGUCUCUGUCAUGUACCUCCUCUCGGGGAGAUCUUAUAGGGGAGACGACAUGCAACCAGCCUGGACUGAGGUCCGCGCAUCUGCUAGGAUGCUGGCGUAAUGGCUGUAAGCGGCCCGUCUUGAAACACGGACCAAGGAGUCUAACAUCUAUGCGAGUGUUUGGGUGUCAAGCCCGAACGCGUAAUGAAAGUGAACGGAGGUGGGAACCUUUCGGGGUGCACCAUCGACCGAUCCUGAUGUCUUCGGAUGGAUUUGAGUAAGAGCAUAGCUGUUGGGACCCGAAAGAUGGUGAACUAUGCUUGAAUAGGGUGAAGCCAGAGGAAACUCUGGUGGAGGCUCGCAGCGGUUCUGACGUGCAAAUCGAUCGUCAAAUUUGGGCAUAGGGGCGAAAGACUAAUCGAACUAUCUAGUAGCUGGUUCCUGCCGAAGUUUCCCUCAGGAUAGCAGUAACGUUUUCAGUUUUAUGAGGUAAAGCGAAUGAUUAGAGGCCUGGGGGUUGAAACAACCUUCACCUAUUCUCAAACUUUAAAUAUGUAAGAAGUCCUUGUUACUUAAU